CCGGCACGGGUGAGUAACACGUAUCCAACCUGCCGUCUACUCUUGGACAGCCUUCUGAAAGGAAGAUUAAUACAAGAUGGCAUCAUGAGUCCGCAUGUUCACAUGAUUAAAGGUAUUCCGGUAGACGAUGGGGAUGCGUUCCCUUAGAUAGUAGGCGGGGUAACGGCCCACCUAGUCUUCGAUGGAUAGGGGUUCUGAGAGGAAGGUCCCCCACAUUGGAACUGAGACACGGUCCAA
rnacentral:rRNA from 1 species